UACAGAGGGUGCAAGCGUUAAUCGGAAUUACUGGGCGUAAAGCGCGCGUAGGUGGUUUGUUAAGUUGGAUGUGAAAUCCCCGGGCUCAACCUGGGAACUGCAUUCAAAACUGACAGGCUAGAGUAUGGUAGAGGGUGGUGGAAUUUCCUGUGUAGCGGUGAAAUGCGUAGAUAUAGGAAGGAACACCAGUGGCGAAGGCGACCACCUGGACUAAUACUGACACUGAGGUGCGAAAGCGUGGGGAGCAAACAGG
rnacentral:rRNA from 1 species